AGCAGGCUGAACCCGCCAGUGAGCAGUGUUCCUCCGUGGCCUCCGGGUUCUCUGCCUCAGUUCCUGCCUGGGUCUCCCUGAAUCUGUAAGUCAAGCAAGCACACCUUUUCCUGGAUAAACUGCUUCCGUGUUAUAGUGAGAGAGGACACACCGAGACAGGACUUCCUUUCGCCCUGGCAUUCUUUCUGUACACUGAUAGACCCUAUGGCUUACAUCCAAACUUGUGCCUUAGCCGGGCGUUGGUGGUGCACGCCUUUAAUCCCAGCACUCGGGAGGCAGAGGCAGGCGGAUCUCUGUGAGUUCGAGGCUGGGCUGGACCGACAGCCUCCAAAACAAUACAGAGAAACCCUGUCUCGUAAAAACAAAACAAAACAAACUUGUGCUCUAUGGGGCAAACGGAGGCAUCGGCUGGAUAAACCCCAGGCUGUUCUGGGAAACCGCCAGGGUAGGGAGAGGAACAAACCCUCCCCCUCCGGCGGCCAAGUUCAGAGAAGCCCCAGCCCUGCGGAUGGGAGAGUGUGAAUGUCUCUCGGGACCCUGCAUUGCAGAGGGGAUUUGAUUUAGGAGUGACCCAGGGAUGCUGCGUCCCUUUACUUCCCCUAGGGAGCAGGCUCUGGGUUUUCCGGAGGGCAGGGGUCCUGGGUGGAGGAGGGGAGAACCCCGGAGAGGACCCCCGGGGAGGACGCCCAGUUCCACGUGGACGCUGCGGACCCUGGAGCCUCCGCCCAGGACACGCGGUCAGACCAGCGCCGCUGCAGUGGCUGCACAGACAGUCCGCGCUCUGGAAGGGUGGGGACUCCGCCCGAGGGCCCCGGGCCCGCAGGACUCCUAGGCACGCACGCCAUCUGUCGCACAUGAAGACCAUCACAUAAGACCGCAACUGGUCACAAUACAGAGGACAACAGAUUGUAGGAAGCCAGCCCCAGAAGAUGCAUCCACAUCACAGCUCUUGCUGUGUCUCUCCCAGGGAACAUCACAGAAGAGAGGGCAGAGAGACUGUAAGAGCCAGAGGGCCAGGAAGUCUGCUGUGAACAGUCUCUCCUAGAAAUGACUGGAUAUAGAAGAUCAAAGACAAUGGCCAUAUCACUGGGAACGUCAAGGUGAAUUUUUUGCAGGGUCCCAUCCUACACAAGGAACUACAAGCAAAUAAUGACUGCUGGGAGAUGGAGAAUUAGCCUCUCCCAAGAGUGAGCCUCCUUAUGUGUUGUCAGCCUUGAAACCAUAUACACCACCAACAUAAGCAGACUCAGCAGGUUAUAUUUAUACAUACUUGUGCAUACACAUACAUGCAUACACAUACAUAUGUAUGCAACAACAGUAAUAAAGGAAAAAGAGGCUAUCAACUUGAGAGUGGGGAGUAUGGGAGGGUUUCUAGAGAGGAAAGUAAUGUAAUGCUCUUACAAUUAAAAACAUGUUUUAAAAAUUAAAACACAAAAAAUAAAAUAGCUAUACAAACCAAA